UUAAGCGACUAAGCGUACACGGUGGAUGCCCUGGCAGUCAGAGGCGAUGAAGGGCGUGCUAAUCUGCGAUAAGCGCCGGUAAGGUGAUAUGAACCGUUAUAACCGGCGAUACCCGAAUGGGGAAACCCAGUGUGACUCGUCACACUAUCAUUAACUGAAUCCAUAGGUUAAUGAGGCGAACCGGGGGAACUGAAACAUCUAAGUACCCCGAGGAAAAGAAAUCAACCGAGAUUCCCCCAGUAGCGGCGAGCGAACGGGGAGGAGCCCAGAGCCUGAAUCAGCAUGUGUGUUAGUGGAAGCGUCUGGAAAGGCGCGCGAUACAGGGUGACAGCCCCGUACACAAAAGCGCAUGUGCUGUGAGCUCGAUGAGUAGGGCGGGACACGUGGUAUCCUGUCUGAAUAUGGGGGGACCAUCCUCCAAGGCUAAAUACUCCUGACUGACCGAUAGUGAACCAGUACCGUGAGGGAAAGGCGAAAAGAACCCCGGCGAGGGGAGUGAAAAAGAACCUGAAACCGUGUACGUACAAGCAGUGGGAGCCCNGGGAGUGAAAAAGAACCUGAAACCGUGUACGUACAAGCAGUGGGAGCACAGGUUUACCUGUGUGACUGCGUACCUUUUGUAUAAUGGGUCAGCGACUUAUAUUCUGUAGCAAGGUUAACCGAAUAGGGGAGCCGGAGGGAAACNAUUCUCUGGUGUUGAAGGCCCUGCAAAGCAGCAUCGCGGUGGCGGAGCGUCGUUUGCGACGCCCAACACACAAAACAAGCGGUGAGUGCUUUGGGGUGGGGUGACUGCGUACCUUUUGUAUAAUGGGUCAGCGACUUAUAUUCUGUAGCAAGGUUAACCGAAUAGGGGAGCCGGAGGGAAACCGAGUCUUAANAAGCAGUGGGAGCCCCACCACCAAAGCGUUUCGCUUUGUGUGGUGCACAAAGAAGCGUAACGACAGCACUGAAUGACGGUUAACGGAGCGCAAGCGACGUUCAACAUACAAAGUCAAGCAGUGGAGCGCUUUGGGGUGGGGUGACUGCGUACCUUUUGUAUAAUGGGUCAGCGACUUAUAUUCUGUAGCAAGGUUAACCGAAUAGGGGAGCCGGAGGGAAACCGAGUCUUAACCGGGCGUUAAGUUGCAGGGUAUAGACCCGAAACCCGGUGAUCUAGCCAUGGGCAGGUUGAAGGUUGGGUAACACUAACUGGAGGACCGAACCGACUAAUGUUGAAAAAUUAGCGGAUGACCUGUGGCUGGGGGUGAAAGGCCAAUCAAACCGGGAGAUAGCUGGUUCUCCCCGAAAGCUAUUUAGGUAGCGCCUCGUGAAUUCAUCUCCGGGGGUAGAGCACUGUUUCGGCUAGGGGGCCAUCCCGGCUUACCAACCCGAUGCAAACUGCGAAUACCGGAGAAUGUUAUCACGGGAGACACACGGCGGGUGCUAACGUCCGUCGUGAAGAGGGAAACAACCCAGACCGCCAGCUAAGGUCCCAAAGUCAUGGUUAAGUGGGAAACGAUGUGGGAAGGCCCAGACAGCCAGGAUGUUGGCUUAGAAGCAGCCAUCAUUUAAAGAAAGCGUAAUAGCUCACUGGUCGAGUCGGCCUGCGCGGAAGAUGUAACGGGGCUAAACCAUGCACCGAAGCUGCGGCAGCGACGCUUAUGCGUUGUUGGGUAGGGGAGCGUUCUGUAAGCCUGUGAAGGUGGCCUGUGAGGGUUGCUGGAGGUAUCAGAAGUGCGAAUGCUGACAUNACGUAUCACCCAAGACAACUUUACGGAGUUGACGAUUGACGGAGCGAAGCGACGUCAAAGCGUUCAUUAAAGUCGAGUUGGCUUAGGGAUACGUUCGUUGGGUAGGGGAGCGUUCUGUAAGCCUGCGAAGGUGGCCUGUGAGGGUUGCUGGAGGUAUCAGAAGUGCGAAUGCUGACAUAAGUAACGAUAAAGCGGGUGAAAAGCCCGCUCGCCGGAAGACCAAGGGUUCCUGUCCAACGUUAAUCGGGGCAGGGUGAGUCGACCCCUAAGGCGAGGCCGAAAGGCGUAGUCGAUGGGAAACGGGUUAAUAUUCCCGUACUUGGUGUUACUGCGAAGGGGGGACGGAGAAGGCUAUGUUGGCCGGGCGACGGUUGUCCCGGUUUAAGCGUGUAGGUGUGUGUUCCAGGUAAAUCCGGUUCACUUUAACACUGAGGCGUGAUGACGAGGCACUACGGUGCUGAAGCAACAAAUGCCCUGCUUCCAGGAAAAGCCUCUAAGCAUCAGGUAACAUCAAAUCGUACCCCAAACCGACACAGGUGGUCAGGUAGAGAAUACCAAGGCGCUUGAGAGAACUCGGGUGAAGGAACUAGGCAAAAUGGUGCCGUAACUUCGGGAGAAGGCACGCUGAUAUGUAGGUGAAGCGGUUUACCCGUGGAGCUGAAAUCAGUCGAAGAUACCAGCUGGCUGCAACUGUUUAUUAAAAACACAGCACUGUGCAAACACGAAAGUGGACGUAUACGGUGUGACGCCUGCCCGGUGCCGGAAGGUUA
rnacentral:rRNA from 1 species